AGUGCCUUUUGCCUAGACUGCAGUAAGAAAGGAAAAGCUCAGGAUCAAAUUUAAAACUAUUAACAAUACAGAACAUUUACCAUGUGAAGCAUGACAAGGAAUUUAGUAUUCCACAAAUGAUCAUAAAAAUAUUUUGAAAGAAUAAACAUAUUAUUUCAAAAGAAAGCAAAGAAAGAUGUAUGCGUCCUAAACUGAUUACUGCCAAAAUCAAGAAUUAUCGAUUAAGCAAAUCCAGGGAAAUAAAAUACAAGUUACAAUGCAUACAUGAGAAACAAAUCCCAAUGUACUUCCAUGUCUUUGAAUCAAAUAUUAAACCUUAAUUUCUUCAUUUAAUACAUCAACUAA
rnacentral:misc_RNA from 1 species